GACUGGGGCUAAUGAUGUGUUGACAAAUCGUACUGGAAUGUUGAUUUGUCUAGAGGACGUAACCUAUUACCGGUUAUGGUCGCUUGAGGAUGAGGUUGCGGCGCAUUAGGUAGUUGGCGGGGUAACUGCCCACCAAGCCUAUGAUGCGUACGGGCCCUGAAAGGGGUAGCCCGGAGAAGGGAACUGAGACAAGGUCCCUAGCCCUACGGGGUGCAGCAGUCGCGGAACCUUUACACUGCACGAAAGUGUGAUAGGGGGAUUUCGAGUGCUUCCAUUGGAAGCUUUUGCCAAACCUAAAAAGUUUGGCGAAUAAAGGGGGGGUAAUAUACGUGCCAGCCGCCGCGGUAAUACGUAAUCCCUAAGUGGUUCCCACUUGUAUUGGGCCUAAAACACCUGUAGCCGGUGAGUUAAGUCUUUGGUGAAAUCUGCUCGCUUAACGAGUAGAAUUGCUAAAGAUACUGAUUCGCUUGGAGAAAUAAGACGUGAAGAGAAUUUUUGGGGUAACGGUGAAAUGUUAUGAUCCCAAAAGGACUACCAGUAGCGAAGGCGCUUCACGAGGAUUAACUCGACGGUGAGAGAUGAAAGUUGGGGGAGCGACCUGGAUUAGAUACCCAGUUAGUCCCAACUGUAAACGAUGUGAACUAGGUGUUCCUCUUCCCACGUGGAAGCGGAGUGCCGUAGCGAAGGCAUUAAGUUCACUGCCUGGGGAGUACGCCCGCAAGGGUGAAACUUAAUGGAAUUGGCGGGAGCUCACUACAAGGGGUGGAUGUUGCGGUUUAAU
rnacentral:rRNA from 1 species